rnacentral:lncRNA from 1 species
AUGCAUGAAUGGCAGCAUCGCGUCGUUGCGGAGAUCGCUGGGCCGCAGUGCCCCAGGCACCAGCACCCACCUGGCCGGGCCGGGUCGGGCUGCUCCGCUGGGAUGGAGUCGCCUGCCUGCCCUGGCACCCACCCCAAAACUGACCUGAGCAGCCGAGCUGGCCCAGAGACACCGAACCUGCACACAGAGGCUGCAGCUGUGGGGCACCUCCAUGGGAACGCUAGCCAGAUGUGCAACCACUGCUGUGGGGACCCUGGAUCCACAUACACCCAAUGCCAUGGUCUGCGCCACCCCAUGUGCACCCACUGCCGUGGGGACCCCGGCCCCUCAUGCACCCUAAUGCCAUGGGCCUCGCCGCCCCACGUGCACCCGCCACCGCAGGGCUGCGUUCAGGGGCGCUCGGUGCAGUUUGCUCCCCAAURCGCUGGCAGCCGGGUCUCUCCGGCCGGCCCUGCCUGGUGCCAGGACCUGGUGCCCAGUAUCUGGUGCCUGGUACUGGUACAUGGUGCCAGUACCCGAUGMCAGUGCCAGGACCUGGCGCCCGCUACCCCAUGCCCGGUGCCAGGACUGGGUGCCCAGUGCCGGUACCGCCUACCCUGUGCCCAGUGCCCCAUAGCCAGUACCCAGGGCAGGUGCCAGGCCCCAGUGCCUGGUACCCAGUGCUGGUACCCGAUAUGCAGUGCUGGUGCCCGGUACCCCAUACCCGGGGCCUGGUGCCCUGUGCCAGUGCCCGCUACCCUGUACCCAGCACCCCGUGCCUGGUGCCAGUGCCAGUGCCGGUACCCGAUACGCAGUGCUGGUGCCCGGUACCCCGUACCCAGGGCCUGGUGCCCGAUGCUGGUGCCCAGGACACAGCACCCAGGACCCGGUGCCAGGGCCCGGUGCUCUGUACCUGAUGCCCGAUACGCCGGUGCCGAUGCCCGGUCCCGCUCCACCGCAGCCAGUGCCCCGUGCCCAAUACCCCGGUGCGGGUGCCCGGUGCCGGUAUCCCGCAGCCGGUUCCCCCGUAGCCGGUACCCGAUGCCCGAUACCCCGCACCCGGUGCCGAUGCCCGGUUCCCCCGGUGCCGGCCCGCGCAGCCCCCGC